rnacentral:rRNA from 1 species
AUUCAGCGGCGGACGGGUGAGUAAUGCCUAGGAAUCUGCCUAGUAGUGGGGGACAACGUUUCGAAAGGAACGCUAAUACCGCAUACGUCCUACGGGAGAAAGUGGGGGAUCUUCGGACCUCACGCUAUUAGAUGAGCCUAGGUCGGAUUAGCUAGUUGGUAGGGUAAAGGCCUACCAAGGCGACGAUCCGUAACUGGUCUGAGAGGAUGAUCAGUCACACUGGAACUGAGACACGGUCCAGACUCCUACGGGAGGCAGCAGUGGGGAAUAUUGGACAAUGGGCGAAAGCCUGAUCCAGCCAUGCCGCGUGUGUGAAGAAGGCCCUCGGGUCGUAAAGCACUUUAAGUUGGGAGGAAGGGCUUACAGCGAAUACCUGUGAGUUUUGACGUUACCGACAGAAUAAGCACCGGCUAACUUCGUGCCAGCAGCCGCGGUAAUACGAAGGGUGCAAGCGUUAAUCGGAAUUACUGGGCGUAAAGCGCGCGUAGGUGGCUUGAUAAGUUGGAUGUGAAAUCCCCGGGCUCAACCUGGGAACUGCAUCCAAAACUGUCUGGCUAGAGUGUGGUAGAGGGUAGUGGAAUUUCCAGUGUAGCGGUGAAAUGCGUAGAUAUUGGAAGGAACACCAGUGGCGAAGGCGACUACCUGGACUAACACUGACACUGAGGUGCGAAAGCGUGGGGAGCAAACAGGAUUAGAUACC